rnacentral:misc_RNA from 1 species
UCUCCGUUGGUGAUCCAGCGGAGGGAUCAUUACCGAGUUUACAACUCCCAAACCCAAUGUGAACCAUACCAAACUGUUGCCUCGGCGGGGUCACGCCCCGGGUGCGUCGCAGCCCCGGAACCAGGCGCCCGCCGGAGGGACCAACCAAACUCUUUCUGUAGUCCCCUCGCGGACGUUAUUUUUACAGCUCUGAGCAAAAAUUCAAAAUGAAUCAAAACUUUCAACAACGGAUCUCUUGGUUCUG